UCAUCCAAAGUCCAUCCGGAGCCUGAAAUUUAUUCCAAGAGGACCUCACUGUGAGAAUGCAGAGAUAAUUGUCACGCAGAAAAAUGGGAAAAAAGUGUGUGUGGAUCCUGAAGCCAAGUGGUUGGAGGUGCUUAUAACUGCCAAUAAAGGUGCCAAACAAGGCAAUUGAACAAAAUGAAGCUGCAAUCUGAGAGAUUCACUUCCACUCCUGGAGUAUCUGCCGGGCAAUGAAGGAGGCUCAGCUGUGGGAGUUAACACUGUAAUUCACCUUCCAGUGGUUCAGUCCAGUGCA